rnacentral:rRNA from 1 species
UACGGGGGAUGCAAGCGUUAUCCGGAUUUAUUGGGUUUAAAGGGUGCGUAGGCUGUGAGGUAAGUCAGCGGUGAAAUGCCCCCGCUCAACGGGGUGAAGUGCCAUUGAUACUGCCUUGCUGGAAUGCGGAUGCCGUGGGAGGAAUGUGUGGUGUAGCGGUGAAAUGCAUAGAUAUCACACAGAACACCGAUUGUGAAGGCAUCUCACGAAUCCGCGAUUGACGCUGAUGCACGAAAGCGUGGGUAUCAAACAGG